rnacentral:rRNA from 1 species
AAGGGAGGGGUGUUGGGGAAUAAUUAUAUGCAUUGCUUCACCCUAUUACCUUGAAGAAAUCAAAGCGCCUAAAGCAUGUAUUAGGCAUGAAUGAAUUAGCAUGGGAUAAUAGAACAAGACUUAGUUCUUGAUUUUUAUUGGUUUCUACAAGUAACAAUGUACAUGAUUAAUAGGGAUAGUUGGGGCCACUUGUAUUGAACCGUCAGAGGUGAAAUUCUAGGACCGGUUCAAGACAAACUAGUGCGAAAGCAUCUGGCAAGGAUGUUUUCAUUAAUCAAGAACGAAAGUUGCGGGCGCGAAGAUGAUCAGAUACCGUCGUAGUCGCAACUAUAAACUUUGUCGCCCAAGGGGUAGUGGUAGUUACAUGAUGACACCCCUAUAACUUUGUGAGAAAUCACAAGGAUUUGGACUCUGGGGGAAGUAUGGUCGCAAGGCUGAAACUUAAAGGAAUUGACGGAAGGGCACCACCAGGAGUGGAACCUGCGGCUUAAUUUGACUCAACACGGGGAAACUUACCAGGUCCAGACACAAUAAGGAUUGACAGAUUGAUAGCUCUUUCUUGAUUCUGUGGAAAGUGGUGCAUGGCCGUUUUUAGUUGGUGGAUUGAUUUGUCUGGUUAAUUCCGUUAACGAACGAGACCUAAACCUACUAACUAGUUAAUGUUAACUUGGACUCUUUUUUUUAUAAAAGGAGCUUCCUCAAUAUUUAUUUAAACUUCUUAGAGGGACUCUUUAUACUUAGUGAAUGGAAGUUUUAGGCAACAACAGGUCUGUGAUGCCCUUAGAUGUUCUGGGCCGCACGCGCGUUACAAUGAAAUGCUCAAUGAGCAAUAUACCCUUGCCCUAAUGGGCUUGGGAACCUGUAUAAAGUUUUUCAAGAUUGGGAUAGGUCAUUGUAAUUAUUGACCUUAAACGAGGAAUUCCUAGUAAAUGUAAGUCAUCAACUUACGUUGAUUACGUCCCUGCCCUUUGUACACACCGCCCGUCGCUCCUACCGAUCGAAUGAUCCGGUGAGGACUCUGGAGGAUAAAAGAUUACUGACCGGCUUCUAAAAAAAAGCUAGUCAUACUUGAUUUAAAUCUGUUCGAACCUUAUUAUUUAGAGGAAGGAGAAGUCGUAACAAGGUUUCCGUAGGUGAACCUGC